GAUGAACGCUGGCGGCGUGCCUAAUACAUGCAAGUCGAGCGAACAGACGAGGAGCUUGCUCCUCUGACGUUAGCGGCGGACGGGUGAGUAACACGUGGAUAACCUACCUAUAAGACUGGGAUAACUUCGGGAGACCGGAGCUAAUACCGGAUAAUAUAUUGAACCGCAUGGUUCAAUAGUGAAAGACGGUUUUGCUGUCACUUAUAGAUGGAUCCGCGCCGCAUUAGCUAGUUGGUAAGGUAACGGCUUACCAAGGCAACGAUGCGUAGCCGACCUGAGAGGGGGAUCGGCCACACUGGAACUGAGACACGGUCCAGACUCCUACGGGAGGCAGCAGUAGGGAAUCUUCCGCAAUGGGCGAAAGCCUGACGGAGCAACGCCGCGUGAGUGAUGAAGGUCUUCGGAUCGUAAAACUCUGUUAUUAGGGAAGAACAAAUGUGUAAGUAACUAUGCACGUCUUGACGGUACCUAAUCAGAAAGCCACGGCUAACUACGUG
rnacentral:rRNA from 1 species